rnacentral:rRNA from 1 species
UACGAAGGGGGCUAGCGUUGCUCGGAAUCACUGGGCGUAAAGCGCACGUAGGCGGUUUUUUAAGUCAGGGUGAAAUCCCGGGGCUCAACCUCGGAACUGCCUUUGAUACUGCAAGUCUCGAGUCCGGAAGAGGUGGGUGGAAUUCCUAGUGUAGAGGUGAAAUUCGUAGAUAUUAGGAAGAACACCGGUGGCGAAGGCGGCCCACUGGUCCGGUACUGACGCUGAGGUGCGAAAGCGUGGGGAGCAAACAGG